rnacentral:rRNA from 1 species
AGGACGAACGCUGGCGGCGUGCUUAACACAUGCAAGUCGAACGAGGUCCAACCGGUCGCAAGACCGGUGAAGACCGAGUGGCGAACGGGUGCGUAACACGUGAGAAACCUGUCCCGGUCUCUGGAAUAACAGUCGGAAACGACUGCUAAUACCGGAUGCCGUCGGAGCGUCGCAUGGCGCGCUGACGAAAGGGCUACCGGAUCGGGAGGGUCUCGCGGCCUAUCAGCUUGUUGGUGAGGUAACGGCUCACCAAGGCAUCGACGGGUAGCUGGUCUGAGAGGAUGAUCAGCCACACUGGGACUGAGACACGGCCCAGACUCCUACGGGAGGCAGCAGUGGGGAAUCUUGCACAAAUGGGCGAAAGCCUGAUGCAGCAACGCCGCGUGCGGAUGAAGGCCCUAGGUUGUAAACCGCUUUCAGCAGGAAGAAAAUGACGGUACCUGUAGAAGAAGGUGCGGCCAACUACGUGCCACAGCCGCGGUAA